rnacentral:rRNA from 1 species
CACGUAGGGUGCGAGCGUUGUCCGGAAUUAUUGGGCGUAAAGAGCUCGUAGGCGGUGUGUCGCGUCGGCCGUGAAAACCUGCAGCUUAACUGUGGGCUUGCGGUCGAUACGGGCAUGGACUGGAGUUCGGCAGGGGAGACUGGAAUUCCUGGUGUAGCGGUGAAAUGCGCAGAUAUCAGGAGGAACACCGGUGGCGAAGGCGGGUCUCUGGGCCGUAACUGACGCUGAGGAGCGAAAGCAUGGGGAGCGAACAGG